CCGACGAUUUUUUAACCAUUUCAUUGCAGAAACGGAGAACGGAUCCAGCUCAUUACUUCAUUUCUAGUACUUCACCGAUUGAGUUUUAUUAUUUUGAAAUUUGAAAAAAAAAAUAUUUUUCCGUGCAGAAAAGCUGAAAAACAUUUCCGACAAAAUGCGACGAACAUUUUAAUUCAGUGCACUAGCGAGCGAUAAACGUCAAAGCAAACAAAAACAUACAAGCGAAUGUUUAUUUACGUUUGAACCUUCCUUCGCGAAUUCGGUGCCGUUGCCGUGACUUGUUCCGUUUGUUUUAAUAGUUAUUUUUCUGGGUUUUCGGUACGUUUUUCACCGGUUUUUGCGAAGAGUGCUCACGGUUAUCAGUGAAAGACUAAUAUCGUGCCUACAUAUUUAAGGUGUUUGAUUACAUUCCACUUUUAACACAUUAGUGCUUUUGUGUGCUUUCGCUCUUUUGCUCUCCGCGUAUACAAAACACCUGUUGAAUAUCAUCAUCAAGGGCGAAUAAAACACGAGCAGAUAACGAAACUUUUGUUAUUAAAACAGAUCCGCAUCAACGUCAACGUAGUUUGAUACUGUGAGGUUAGUAUACUCCGUGUAUGUCGUCAGCUGUAC